AGGUCCUAUUGGCCUUAUGCAGAUUGUUGCUGGCCUGAUACAACAUGUAUUGCUUGAUUCCGCAGCUCUUGUUUGCUGGUGAAAGUUAAUUGACAAAAAAUUGUACUAGCGGACUGCUUGCUUGCAUGGAGAGGUGUUUCUAAUUAAUCACUGAAUAAUUAAAAAUUCUGCUGUACAAUGGUGCAGCAGAUUGUGUUCGCACGUUUGCAUUAGUUUUAGUGCACUAAGCUAGAACUGGCCAUUUUUCAGCGACAUACACAAAAGCAACGUGCACCUACAUGAUCUCGCCAAUUUUGCUUCACUGAGCCUCGUCGCGAUGAGUCGUUGAGAAAACAGCUAGUGUUUACAGCACCGCGAACACUUCCCCACGAAAAAAAAAAAGAAAAAACUGAACAACCAGCUGUAAUCUGCAAGGCAGAUCGCGGUGCCCGGUCAGCUUACGAACACUGGUGCAAUAGCAGCAACCAUAUUUGUUUGCCGAUGAAGUUUCGUCAGUGUCAUAUUUUCUGUUGAAGUGCGCAUAAAGUAAAUGUUAAACUUUUAAUCUAAAUCGCUAACUUGAUACUGCAUAUAAAAUGCUGUAAUUUUUUAUUGACAUCAAAGAGCAGUAUCGCAGAGAAGGGAACACGGCGGGCGGGAAGCACAUAAAACUGCGACCGUAGUCAGCUGUAGUUGAGCACAGCACAUGUGCAAUGGCGGCUGCCAUGUCAAGGCGAGGCGUCACGCGAGGCGUGCGUGCGUGUUAGUGAAUGAACGAUGUGUUUUUAAGGAACCUGUGGUGUUAGCGCCUGCGCAAUCUCAUUCAUGCAGUAGUAUAUUUGGAUAGUUUUAUCUAUGGCUGCUGUUGUGACUUCAAAACAAUGCAAGGCAACUGUUUCACCCCUGUCCUUCGCGACUUUGUGGAUCUUUCAGCAUGCAUCGAUGUGCAGUGUUUUCCCUGGCACCGAUUUACCAUUUCGAGGUUUUUUAGCCACUUCCUCAAAAGGACGCCCUUUGGUCGAAGUCAACGAAAAGCUCUCAAUCAAGAUUGCUGACCUGACGAAGAUCUCGAAAGAGGAAUCUGUAAAAAUACAUGCCGUGCUAAUAAAUGCUUCUAGCAAUUUUACCUGUU